rnacentral:lncRNA from 1 species
GUUGGAUGUGUUGGCUACUGUGCAGACCACUAGUGCUUCACCAUAGGCUAGGUAUUUGACUCCAUAACCAGCAAUAUAUAUUGUUCUGUUUUUGCUGUUUAACAUAUGGGUUUUGUUUAUCAUCAUCAUUAUAAUGUACUCACAUUACACAAGUCUGAAAUUUUUUAGAGAAGAUUGCAACACAACUUGGCCCUGGUUGAUAAAUUAUCUGUAGAACUCCACAAGUGAGACUUGCUGCUUUUGCCAGAGCCUGGAAUUCUCUCUCCGUCCUUUGUUUUCCUUGAGGUUUAAAGUUCGUCGUGAUCAAAUCGAAUUAUGGUUUACUUUUAUCAUCAAUAAUGUUCUCAGGGGCUUCAGCAACAACCAAAUCCACCUCAAUAACUUUACCAAUCACCAUGUUUGGCUAAUGUCGCAUAGAAUUUUUUUUUGUAUCUUUAGGCAAUGGUCUUCACUCCAAGAAUGUAGAAUCCGCUGUUUCACGAGAAUAACAAAAUUACACCUCAGCAGUAGUUUUGGAAGUGGGUGAUGUAAAUUCUGUUUAGUGGUCAGAAAUGUGGGUGUCCAUCCUAACUCCUACUUUGUGCUGCUAUUGAUCGGAGAGUUUUAAAACUGAAAGUGCAUGUCACUAUGCCUUCAAGGAUAAACUAAUAAUCCACUGCGUUAGGUUCAAGCUCUAUUUGUUGGAAAAUGUCCAACAAACAUAAUGAUUGACACAAAGGAUGACACCACACUCACAAUCGAGGUGUGAGUCCCGCACGAAUAAAAUAAUGUCGACCUUUCAUGUGAGUGUAUUAUGUCAACUAA